rnacentral:rRNA from 1 species
UACGUAGGGGGCGAGCGUUGUCCGGAUUUAUUGGGCGUAAAGAGCGUGUAGGCGGUUCGGUAAGUCUGUCGUGAAAUCCUGAGGCUUAACCUUGGACGUGCGAUGGAUACUGCCGGGCUAGAGGAUGGUAGAGGCGAGUGGAAUUCUCGGUGUAGCGGUGAAAUGCGCAGAUAUCGGGAGGAACACCAGUAGCGAAGGCGGCUCGCUGGGCCAUUCCUGACGCUGAGACGCGAAAGCUGGGGGAGCGAACAGG